rnacentral:rRNA from 1 species
UGGGAGCUUGCUCCCUGAUGUUAGCGGCGGACGGGUGAGUAACACGUGGGUAACCUGCCUGUAAGACUGGGAUAACUCCGGGAAACCGGGGCUAAUACCGGAUGGUUGUUUGAACCGCAUGGUUCAAACAUAAAAGGUGGCUUCGGCUACCACUUACAGAUGGACCCGCGGCGCAUUAGCUAGUUGGUGAGGUAACGGCUCACCAAGGCAACGAUGCGUAGCCGACCUGAGAGGGUGAUCGGCCACACUGGGACUGAGACACGGCCCAGACUCCUACGGGAGGCAGCAGUAGGGAAUCUUCCGCAAUGGACGAAAGUCUGACGGAGCAACGCCGCGUGAGUGAUGAAGGUUUUCGGAUCGUAAAGCUCUGUUGUUAGGGAAGAACAAGUACCGUUCGAAUAGGGCGGUACCUUGACGGUACCUAACCAGAAAGCCACGGCUAACUACGUGCCAGCAGCCGCGGUAAUACGUAGGUGGCAAGCGUUGUCCGGAAUUAUUGGGCGUAAAGGGCUCGCAGGCGGUUUCUUAAGUCUGAUGUGAAAGCCCCCGGCUCAACCGGGGAGGGUCAUUGGAAACUGGGGAACUUGAGUGCAGAAGAGGAGAGUGGAAUUCCACGUGUAGCGGUGAAAUGCGUAGAGAUGUGGAGGAACACCAGUGGCGAAGGCGACUCUCUGGUCUGUAACUGACGCUGAGGAGCGAAAGCGUGGGGAGCGAACAGGAUUAGAUACCCUGGUAGUCCACGCCGUAAACGAUGAGUGCUAAGUGUUAGGGGGUUUCCGCCCCUUAGUGCUGCAGCUAACGCAUUAAGCACUCCGCCUGGGGAGUACGGUCACAAGACUGAAA